rnacentral:rRNA from 1 species
GUGUCAGCCGCCGCGGUAAUACGGAGGGUGCAAGCGUUAUCCGGAUUCACUGGGUUUAAAGGGUGCGUAGGUGGGAAUGUAAGUCAGUGGUGAAAUCUCUGAGCUUAACUCAGAAACUGCCAUUGAUACUAUGUUUCUUGAAUUUUCUGGAGGUCAGCGGAAUAUGUCAUGUAGCGGUGAAAUGCUUAGAUAUGACAUAGAACACCAAUUGCGAAGGCAGCUGACUACAGGGAUAUUGACACUGAGGCACGAAAGCGUGGGGAUCAAACAGGAUUAGAUACCCCGGUAGUCC